GAAAGCUUGCUUUCUUUGCUGGCGACCGGCGCACGGGUGAGUAACACGUAUCCAACCUGCCCUUUACUCGGGGAUAGCCUUUCGAAAGAAAGAUUAAUACCCGAUAGCAUAAUGAUUCCGCAUGGUUUCAUUAUUAAAGGAUUCCGGUAAAGGAUGGGGAUGCGUUCCAUUAGGUUGUUGGUGAGGUAACGGCUCACCAAGCCUUCGAUGGAUAGGGGUUCUGAGAGGAAGGUCCCCCACAUUGGAACUGAGACACGGUCCAAACUCCUACGGGAGGCAGCAGUGAGGAAUAUUGGUCAAUGGGCGCUAGCCUGAACCAGCCAAGUAGCGUGAAGGAUGAAGGCUCUAUGGGUCGUAAACUUCUUUUAUAUAAGAAUAAAGUGCAGUAUGUAUACUGUUUUGUAUGUAUUAUAUGAAUAAGGAUCGGCUAACUCCGUGCCAGCAGCCGCGGUAAUACGGAGGAUCCGAGCGUUAUCCGGAUUUAUUGGGUUUAAAGGGAGCGUAGGUGGACUGGUAAGUCAGUUGUGAAAGUUUGCGGCUCAACCGUAAAAUUGCAGUUGAUACUGUCAGUCUUGAGUACAGUAGAGGUGGGCGGAAUUCGUGGUGUAGCGGUGAAAUGCUUAGAU
rnacentral:rRNA from 1 species